UAAUAUUGCACUGUAAGGGCACAUGAGACUAAAGAGGCAGUAAGUUAAAUAAAGUAGUUAACCUUCAUUAGUCUCUAAUACUAAAUAUAAGAGCUCGGGGAGCCCUUACCUAGUACCGUGGGUAAAGGUGGGCUACAUGUGUAAAAAGUGUACCUGGCCUAGUGGCUAUUAAAAUAUAACAGAAUUUCUCACAUAAUUUUUAGGAGUGGAGCCCAGCUGGGCCCCACAUAUUGCCCGUUCCAGCUGUAGUUGAGCCCAUCUACUGCUCAUCUACCCAACAAAAAAGCCCACCCAUGUGAGACCCAUGUGAGCCCCAACUGGAUGUGUUUGCAGGGAAGAUACAUUAAUCAUAUGUGCAUAAUGAUUAACAAAUAUUAAUGUUUAUUAAUCAUGUAAACAAUAGCUAAGGUUAAUCACGCAAUAUCCAAAUGUUUAAAUACAUUUUGAGUUAUAUGUUUGGUGUUUUUGAAAUGUGCAAACAUUCUUGUGAUGUAACUUGCUGACAGUUUUUCAGUUAGUAGUUGUUGCCUGAAAACCUUAUCAGAAGACUUCACAGCGUGUGUGGGUAGGACCAUGCCACGAAAAAGAGGGAUCAAGACCACCCAGACGAAGGACAAUGCCAAAGAUUAGCAGAAAGACAUUGUAGUAGCUUAGGGUAUAAAUUUAAAUGCCAGCCCACUGUUCGGGGUUCCUCCUUGCUGUCAGCUUGCUGGGACACCAGAUUGUUGGUUGGAAGCUCGCAACUCCUGGGACCCUCAGAACCUCUGGGUGUUUAGGCUUUUCUCCAACAUGUCCAGUGAAUCUGGGACGUGACUUGUUACAAAGUCUAAAGAUUGGCAUCCUCCCAACUUCAGGAAGAAUGAAAGUGGUCAGACUGACUACAGAUGACUAGCUACUCGUUGGACCAGAUGGACAUGACACAGGCUUCAUGCCUACUUCAAAAGGCUGUAAAGCAAUUGACUGAUUUACAGCAUGCACUCCAUCCUGAGCAGUUAUUGUUAAAUUCUUUUUAUCAAGGCCAUAAAAAUGAAAAAGUGGUCCAGCCCACGGUGGGAAGGCCCAUUCCAAGUGUUGCUGACCACACCAACAGCCGUGAAGAUCACUGAAAGACCAUCAUGGAUACAUCUAAGUCACUGUAAGCUGCAGUGUGUGCCUGUUACCACAAACGAGUAAGGGGAAGUCUGGCUACAAAGGGGAUUCACCGUAUAGAGGUGUCUCGUCUCAACGUCAGUGAAGCAGGGAGAUCCUUACUCACUUAGAGUGGUCUAUAGGUGGCGCUGCGGCCUAGCACCAAUGACUGAUCCGCAGAGUACACCCAACCCACGUGCCAAGCGCCGUGGUUGUGGGUGAGUCUGGCAGACAGUCUGGUGUGUUGUGAUAUCAGCAUGUUCCUGUCUACUGGGACACCUCUUCUGGCAGAUGUGGGAACGACAUCCUCCGUCUGAAACCUCUCCUGAUGACUCAGCUCCCGUUCAACCUCUCACCCGGAGGGAAAUACGAUACAUCGACCACCCUGAUGAACCACAACAUCCUUACCACACCGACAUGUGGUGGCGCUACGUAAAUUACACUUCACAUCUAGUGAACCGUACCAACUGUUAUGUCUGUACACAUAUGCCUGUUUCCACCACACAUAAUGGACUUCAUGCUACUCCAACGUCUCAAACUAAUACUGAUUGUUUGAUAGGCCUGUCAACCUACCCAGGAAAUUAUUCUGUACCUCUGAACAAAACCACUGCAUCUCCCUUGGAGGGAAAGAACUGUACCGGUUCCGGUUUACCUCCUAUGUUAUCAUGGCCCCAGGUGCGGGACCCCCUACUGAUAACUGAUUUAACGCCUUAUCAUAGCUUUGAUUAUUGUGUAAUUGGGAAUGGCUCAAACCUACUUGGGUGGCUUCCACCUCACUCCUGCAAUUUAACCUACACCUUCUGCGAUUAUGUAAAUCAAACAGCAAAAAAUGAAUGCGACAGAAACAAAACCUGUAAACAGGAUAAGACCCAGUGGAACAAGGCCCACCUCGUCAGGAACAUAGACCGUUUCUGGUGUAACACCACCCAGGCCCCUUACAUUAAGCGCUGUUACUGUGCAGCCAUAGUGCCAACCCAGAAGGGCACUAGAGCCCUCACUGAUUAUUAUUGGCUAUGCGGGACCAACGUUUACGCUCACCUUCCUCCCAAUUGGGGUGGAAGAUGUGGAAUGAUUAAUUUACAUGAACCAGUAGUACAUAUUCCUAAAGAUCAAUGGUCCAAAGCCACCAUCAAGUUCCGUGAACCGCAUAAUGUUUGCGCUAAAUGAGAACUGUCUGAUACCAGCCAUAUUCGUAGUGAUAAAAGAAUAUUCAAUCAGGGAUGGAGGUCACUAUUUGGCAUGCUUCCACAUGUUGGGGUCAACCUCGUAGCUCUAGAAGUUGAGUUCACCCGCUGGAAGUUUCUGCAGUUCAUGAGCUCCACACUUGAGAUGGCCAAUGCAACCACCGAGGAAAUUAGGGCCCUGCGACUGAUGGUACUACAAAACCGUAUGGUUCUUGAUCAGCUGACCGCACCCUCCGGUGGAGUGUGUGCUUUGGUGGGCACAGCGUGCUGCACCUUUAUCCCGGACAACACAGCUGACGGAGGUGCCAUCACCCGAGCCCUACAAGAGAUGACAGAGGUCCAUGACUCUGUACAAGCAACAAUGUCAUCACCUAGCUGGAGUUUCUGGUCAUGGCUUACAUCAGGAAGUUGGUGGCAACUUCUACUACGAGCUUUGACCCCUCUGUUGAUCAUUAUUGCAGUUUUUGCACUCUUAUUUUGCUGCAUAGUGCCUUGCCUCUGUUCCAUGAUUGUAAAAUUAGUCUCCAAUGCCUUUGUCCAAUGUAAUGUUGUACAGCGAGUCCUCCAUCGAGAAACUACGCACUUCCAACUAUUGUCGACCGAUGAUAUUGAGCAGGAACCAGAGUAUGAUGUCCGCUAAUAUGCUAUA